UACGGGGGGAGCAAGCGUUGUUCGGAAUUACUGGGCGUAAAGGGCUCGUAGGCGGCCAUCUAAGUCAGACGUGAAAUCCCUCGGCUCAACCGAGGAACUGCGUCUGAUACUGGAAGGCUUGAAUCCGGGAGAGGGAUGUGGAAUUCCAGGUGUAGCGGUGAAAUGCGUAGAUAUCUGGAGGAACACCGGUGGCGAAGGCGGCAUCCUGGACCGGUAUUGACGCUGAGGCGCGAAAGCUAGGGGAGCAAACGGG
rnacentral:rRNA from 1 species